GCCAGACUCCUACGGGAGGCAGCAGUGGGGAAUAUUGGGCAAUGGGCGCAAGCCUGACCCAGCAAUGCCGCGUGAAGGAAGAAGGCCUUCGGGUUGUAAACUUCUUUUAUCAGGGACGAAGGAUGUGACGGUACCUGAUGAAUAAGCUCCAGCUAACUACGUGCCAGCAGCCGCGGUAAUACGGAGGAUGCGAGCGUUAUCCGGAUUUAUUGGGUUUAAAGGGUGCGUAGGCGGACAGUCAAGUCAGCGGUAAAAAUGCGGUGCUCAACGCCGUACAGCCGUUGAAACUGGCAGUCUUGAGUGGGCGAGAAGUAUGCGGAAUGCGUGGUGUAGCGGUGAAAUGCAUAGAUAUCACGCAGAACUCCGAUUGCGAAGGCAGCAUACCGGCGCCCGACUGACGCUGAGGCACGAAAGCGUGGGUAUCGAACAGGAUUAGAUACCCCCGUA
rnacentral:rRNA from 1 species